rnacentral:misc_RNA from 1 species
AGUACCGGUGUUGAAAUCAGAUUUCAGGUUCUAUAUGCAAUUGAAUUGAAUCGAGCAAGAAGACAGCAUCAGCAGGAAGGGAAAAGCAAUGGCGUCUUCGACGGCUAUUCGAGAACUACAGCGCGAUCUUGAGAACAAAUCCAAUGAUCUCAGCAAACUCCAAAAGGGCAAGUUUUUCUAAUUCCUUCUUCACCAUUUCAUCGAUACACAAGUGUUCAAUGUUUGAAGGACAACCCUAACAUGGUGUCCAAAUUAAAUGUAGAUAUUGCAAAGAAUCACCAAUUCAUCAAGAAGUACACGGUCAAGUUAGGUGAGAACGAUCUCGUUCUUAAGAUCUCUUUCUCUGUGUGUAUAGGGAUUCUGAUGAAUGUUACCGUUAUUAGUUGGCUAAUAGUAAGUUGUAUUGUCUGAUUGAUUGGGUCUGGUUAGCUGGAGUUAGAUUUAUUAAAAGAAGGUGCAAAUGUUUACAAGUUGAUUGGUCCAGUAGUAGUGAAACAAGACUUGGCAGGGGCUAAUGCUAAUGUCCGCAAGAGAAUCGAGUAUAUCUCUGCUGAAUUGUACGUUUUCUUUACUUUGCUCAGUUGGGUAGCAGAUGAUUGUAUGCUUGUAGCCUUUUCGGUUCUUUACGUUAUGGAAAUUUCUGAAACUGUAAUCUAUAUAUUUAAAAUAAUCACUGAUUGGCAUUGGGGUAAAUAUUUGUGGGCUAUAUAGUAUUUGGAGCAUCAUUAGUGCCUUUAACUGAUUGUACUAUCCUGUUAAGGAACGGCAUCUCAUUUCUCGUACCAAUUAGUGAUCGCCGGAAGACUGCAGUUUUCUAGUUUCAACUUCAUUUCAAGUUUUUCUAUUGUUUCCUGCAUAUAGCAUGUGAUUAUCUGAAUUUGUACGAUUGAUUUCAUGAAUGGGAGUCAGUUAUUGAAAAUUCCUCUUAAAUUUUAUCUUUUUUCCCUCAAUUUGUUUCCAUACAUGGGUGGAUGGGAGGAGAUGUGGUGAAUGAGAUAAAUAUGUGGUGCACCAUCAACAUUAAAGCCAUCUCUCAGAUGAUAUUUGGUUAAUGCAAUUUGUUUAAGAAGUUAAAGCAAAUGUAAAUCCAAAAAAGAGUGUGUUUUCUGUCAGUUUUCAAUUUUAAUGUCUUUGAUCCAUAGAUUUAAGUACAUAUGCUGCAGACUUUCAUACACCUUCCUCUGCCUUUGGCAUCUGUUUUUGAUGUUUCUUCUUAUUAACUUAUUAUUGUUGUUCCCGUGUUGCUUUUGCAAUUCUUUUGGCUAUGAAAGUGUGUUUCUUUAUGAUAGGAAGCGACUUGAUGCAACUCUUCAUGACUUGGAAGAGAAUCAAAAUAGCAAGAAAGAGGUACAGGAGAUACAGAGCGUGAGCCCAGUAGACCCUAGACUGGGUGAGAGUCAGAUCUGCCAGUGUCCUGUGUCACCUCUCAUCUGCAGUGUAUUUUGGUAGGGCACUAGGAUUCUCUUUUGUAUUUUUGUAAAUUGUAUUUUGUAUUUAGGUCUUUAUGUUAUCAUGUAAAUUAUAAACUCUUGUAUCAUUUUAUAUUGUAAAUUAAUGAAAAUUAAGUAUUGCCUUCAUAAAAGUGAGUUCAAAUUGAAUUAUAUAUGAUAUGGAUUGAAUGAAUGAAAAUUGUUGAGAAAUAUUGAGAUAAUAUUGAUUAUUUGGAGUUGAGAAUGAUUGGAAAACUAUUUGGAAGUAUUUUCCACAGGUUCCAAAGAACUGUUUUCUCCAUUUUUAGGUGGUAUUUUGCCGGAUUUUCUAUAAAAUUUGCGAAACUUCAAAUAAAUUUAUGAUUUCAAUAAAUGACUUCAAUGAAAGAUAUUUCUCGAAUUAUACUUCAUAACUAUGAAAGAAAUAAAUUAGGAAGAUAAAAAUGAUUGAAAUAAAAUAGGGUGUUCCGGUACACUGUGUGACAUAUCUUACUUGGCUAUACUGUAGACAGGUAAAGGGUGUCACAUUUUUUGUAAUUUUUUCUUUGUUGUACAUUGUAUGGUCUGACAAAUGAUAUUUCUUGGCCCUUAUGGACACAGAGGUACUCAGGGAGCAUUCUACACGGGGUCACUGCAAAAGU